AGAGCUCAAAUUUAAAAUCUGGCGUCCUCUGGUCGUCCGAGUUGUAGUCUGGAGAAGUGUUUUCCGUGUUGGACCGUGUAUAAGUCCCUUGGAACAGGGCGUCGUAGAGGGUGAGAAUCCCGUCUUUGACACGGACUACCAGGGCUUUUGUGAUGCGCUCUCAAAGAGUCGAGUUGUUUGGGAAUGCAGCUCAAAAUGGGUGGUAAAUUCCAUCUAAAGCUAAAUAUUGGCGAGAGACCGAUAGCGAA
rnacentral:rRNA from 1 species